rnacentral:tRNA from 1 species
GCAUUGGUGGUUCAGUAAUAGAAUUCUUACCUUCCAUGCAAGAGACCCCGGUUUGAUUCCUGGUCAAGGCA